rnacentral:rRNA from 1 species
GGAAUAUUGGUCAAUGGUCGAGAGACUGAACCAGCCAAGUAGCGUGAAGGAGGACUGCCCUAUGGGUUGUAAACUUCUUUUGUUUGGGAAUAAAGUGAGGCACGUGUGCCUUAUUGUAUGUACCAUACGAAUAAGCAUCGGCUAAUUCCGUGCCAGCAGCCGCGGUAAUACGGAAGAUGCGAGCGUUAUCCGGAUUUAUUGGGUUUAAAGGGAGCGUAGGCGGCCUGUUAAGCCAGCGGUCAAAUGUCAGCGCCCAACGUUGGCAUGCCGUUGGAACUGGCGGGCUUGAAUACACACAAGGAGGGUGGAAUUCGUCGUGUAGCGGUGAAAUGCUUAGAUAUGACGAAGAACUCCGAUUGCGAAGGCAGCCUUCUGGGGUGCGAUUGACGCUGAGGCUCGAAAGUGCGGGUAUCAAACA